UAAUCUAAUGGAGGAGCUCACAAGUGCUUGAAGAGACUGAGAAAGGGGGUAUCAGCGGGUCUCAAGUCUGUCUGGAGUGACCUGUUCACUGGUAGACCAGUACCUCAAUUGAGAUGCCCAUCAGAGAGCAGACUGGAGGCUGGGGUGAUGAAAAAGGAAACAAGCUGUGAAAACACCCUCCGACUUCUGGUGUCACCAUAUCCUCUGCCCCAGCCCCCUGGUCUAUCAGUACGAGGAGUCGCCUUUCAAACUCCCCACACUUUGGAGAUCUGAGAAGUUGGCUUGAAGACAGUGACAGUCAUUCGCAAAAAUAAAGCCCGGAAAUUUGCAUUGCCGCCCCAGGGGAGGGACUCAUCUCGCCUUGGGCAAUACCCUGGAAGUGGCGCAACUUGGUCCAGUUUAUUUCUCGUGGAUACUAGAUGGCACCUUGAGGGCGUGGGAGCAACGCACAGGUCUGCAAGCAGCGUGGGGCUCCAACGAGCUGGACCUCAGUUUCCCCUUUUCCAAGCUCCCCCUUCGGACGACGCGGUGGUCAUUUUCCACCGGUGGACGGCUCAUCCCGUAAGUUCAGCCUUCCCAAGUUUUCACACCAUUCCCGAAUUUUGGAUUUCUGCUACCAGGCCUCCGAGCGGAUGACCUCAGAGGACCGACGGAGGUCGCUGCUGCUCUUUCUACCAACUGCCAAACCUUCAACCUUUCAAAACAAAAAAAGUUAGGGCCUGGAAGGGAGGGAAGGAGGAAUUUUGACAUCGUCACAGCUCCGAUUUGCCCAACCGAAUACUGUACUCCCCAAACUGGAACUCUUCAACAAGGUAUCGGCAAACGGCUCCGCGGAGUUGGCAACCUCUCCUCGACUUAAAUGUCUGUGCCUGCCUCCCUUCCCCCCACCAAACCCUCGCAAGGGUCAGAACCAGUUUCUUGGGACUCGGGUCCUCUCCAGAAAGCAGGGUCCAGAAGACCUCCAAACAGGCCCGAUUCACAGCCAUUAAUUCAAUCGUAUGUAUUGAGCGCUUACUGUGUGCAGGGCACUGUACUAAGCGCUUGAAAAGUACAAUUCGGCGACAAAUACCACUUCGCAUUUAAUCCCACUGGGAUCCCUUUUUCUUUUUCUAAACAACCUCCAUCAUCGCCAUCUACAAUUCUCCGGCAACGAGCACUAGAUGGCCAUUUAUAUUCGACUUUCUAUUUAUAAGUGGGUCGAGGGGGGGGGGGUAAAAAAAAAAAAGAGAUGGCGAUGGAUAGGAGAGCCCACCCCUCAUCCCAUCUGCAAAGCAGUCUUUUCUUUUCCACCAGGGGCUCGUUUGCAAGGACGACCCAAGGCGUCAGUUUACUAAAGAAGCCAAAACUUCCAUCUCCCCACACCCCCUCCCAACCUUCUCAAAAAAAAGGGGGGGGGGGGAGGAAAGGAAUGCGCUUCGGCUCUCUCCUUAGAGAUCAUGUUUGAUGCCGCUACCUCCAGGAAUAGCGUGUGGACAGGGGCCAGAUGAACUUCAACUUGGGCUGCAGAUUUACGAGGCUUUGUCGCUAUGCCAAAGGUUGUGGUAGUAAAUAGUGAACAAAAUAGAGACCUGUCCCCUGCCAUAUGGGGCUCCUUCCCCUUCCACUCUUUUUUUAAAAAAGUUAUUUAUUAAAACCACCCCCCACACAAGCACCUUGCAGGGAAAAAUAAAGGAAGCUAUCUGUCUUUGGAGAGGAA